GAAAGGCGCGCGAUACAGGGUGACAGCCCCGUACACAAAAGCGCAUGUGCUGUGAGCUCGAUGAGUAGGGCGGGACACGUGGUAUCCUGUCUGAAUAUGGGGGGACCAUCCUCCAAGGCUAAAUACUCCUGACUGACCGAUAGUGAACCAGUACCGUGAGGGAAAGGCGAAAAGAACCCCGGCGAGGGGAGUGAAAAAGAACCUGAAACCGUGUACGUACAAGCAGUGGGAGCACAGGUUUACCUGUGUGACUGCGUACCUUUUGUAUAAUGGGUCAGCGACUUAUAUUCUGUAGCAAGGUUAACCGUAUAGGGGAGCCGAAGGGAAACCGAGUCUUAACCGGGCGUUAAGUUGCAGGGUAUAGACCCGAAACCCGGUGAUCUAGCCAUGGGCAGGUUGAAGGUUGGGUAACACUAACUGGAGGACCGAACCGACUAAUGUUGAAAAAUUAGCGGAUGACCUGUGGCUGGGGGUGAAAGGCCAAUCAAACCGGGAGAUAGCUGGUUCUCCCCGAAAGCUAUUUAGGUAGCGCCUCGUGAAUUCAUCUCCGGGGGUAGAGCACUGUUUCGGCUAGGGGGCCAUCCCGGCUUACCAACCCGAUGCAAACUGCGAAUACCGGAGAAUGUUAUCACGGGAGACACACGGCGGGUGCUAACGUCCGUCGUGAAGAGGGAAACAACCCAGACCGCCAGCUAAGGUCCCAAAGUCAUGGUUAAGUGGGAAACGAUGUGGGAAGGCCCAGACAGCCAGGAUGUUGGCUUAGAAGCAGCCAUCAUUUAAAGAAAGCGUAAUAGCUCACUGGUCGAGUCGGCCUGCGCGGAAGAUGUAACGGGGCUAAACCAU
rnacentral:rRNA from 2 species